AAAACAUCACUCAAUCAUUGCCUCUUCUCUCUCUCCCUCAAAUUUGAUCUUCAUAACUAAAAGAAAAAUAUAUUUCUCUUUUCUUUCCCAUACUGCCUUGGAUUAUCUCCCCAAUUAUUGGGAAGAGAAAGGUUUUGGGUUUUUCUUUGAUUGUUCAAACAAAGAAACUACAAACUGGAUCUAAUUUGAGUUUCUUUCUUUGCCUUCUUCCAAUCGAGUUUAAUCCUUUUCAAAUGGUUUUCAUGUCUGAUUUUCGAUUUACAGACAAAGAUUCUGAGGAAGAAGCUGGAGAGUGGGAAAGGGAAACAUAAAUUCAAUCACCAUUCAAUAAAAUUCCCCAAGCGACUUUAAUCACAGAAUCAAUGGCGGCUAUAUCACCCCCAGUGCCGGAAAAUCGUGCAGCGGCGGUGCUGAUUGGGCAAAUGGAUGUUGAAUUUGCCAAGUGUGAGUGUUGUGGGCUGACAGAGGAAUGUACAGGGGCCUAUAUCGAGGGAAUCCGCCGCCGGUUCGACGGAAAAUGGAUUUGCGGUUUGUGUUCGGAGGCGGUUCAAGAUGAGAUUCUUAAGUCCCAUGAAAUUAUCACCACCGAAGAAGCCAUAGCAAAGCAUAUGAAUUUUCGUAAGAAAUUUGCUGCCGCCAUCGGACCACCGCCGGACCCGACGCCUCAUCUCAUAACUGCUAUGAGACAGAUCCUCCGUCGGAGUUUAGAUUCCCCAAGAGCAUUGAGGUCUAGCCCGGCCACUCCAAGCACCGCUGCCGACAACCAAAUCCGCCGCCGGGCUCUUGCUUGAUCUGGCAGCUGCUUCAUUUCGACGAUGAACAUUGGAUUUUUCCAGAGAAUGAAAGAAUUUUUCCAAACAAAUAAAUUGGGAUAAAAAUCUCCUCCCCCCAAAAAAUAAAACAUGAAAUAGAGAAAAUAAUGUUUUAUCUUUGAUGCUCAAUGUCGAAUAUAAUUUUCUUCUUCUCUUGCUUUCGAUUUGCUUUUCCUUUUUGGAAAUUUAUUUGAGAAGAGGAAGAAAUUGAAAAUUAUAAAAAUGGGGUUGGGGAAUUUGUUGGAAUGGGUGACCUAACAGAAUCAAUUAUUGAGUUUGAAUAUGAUAUGUUAAUUAAAUUCAAUCAGAUUAAAGGGUGUGCAGGUUACAGUUGGUGAGUGUUUAAUGGAGCUUUGUGAAAUAGUGGAAUUUUAUUUGGAAGUGAGUUUUAUCCAAUGUCGAAAAGGGAAUGAGUAGCAUUAAUCUUGAUUUGUAAUUGUUACACACAAAUUAUUAUUA